AAUGAACGCUGGCGGCAGGCCUAACACAUGCAAGUCGAACGGAUCCUUCGGGAUUAGUGGCGGACGGGUGAGUAACGCGUGGGAACAUACCCAAAGGUACGGAAUAGCCUCGGGAAACUGGGAGUAAUACCGUAUGUGCUCGAAAGAGGAAAGAUUUAUCGCCUUUGGAGUGGCCCGCGUUGGAUUAGGUAGUUGGUGGGGUAAUGGCCUACCAAGCCGACGAUCCAUGGCUGGUUUGAGAGGAUGAUCAGCCACACUGGGACUGAGACACGGCCCAGACUCCUACGGGAGGCAGCAGUGGGGAAUCUUAAACAAUGGGGGAAACCCUGAUCUAGCCAUGCCGCGUGAUCGAUGAAGGCCUUAGGGUUGUAAAGAUCUUUCAGGUGGGAAGAUAAUGACUGUACCACCAGAAGAAGCCCCGGCUAACUCCGUGCCAGCAGCCGCCGUAA
rnacentral:rRNA from 1 species